rnacentral:tRNA from 1 species
GCCCCGAUAGUCCAACCGGCAGAGACAAUGGCCUCAAAAUCCAUACGGUGUGGGUUCGAAUCCCACUCGGGGCA